rnacentral:lncRNA from 1 species
CAGAGGAGGUCAGUGAGUAUCUCGGUGAUUUACAUUCGAUAAGGAAUCUUUCACGACAACAUGAAGACCACAUCCUUUUCCGAAUUAAUAAUAUGUAGCGUACUUUUAUUCUGUAUUUUACAGGUUUGUAUUUUUUUUAUAUAUAUAUUAACAAUUCUAAAUGGAUUUAAAAAAAAAUAUAUUUCUGUGCAGGCCUAUAAAUACAGGCGAUUUCUAAUGUUUGGCAUGAAUUAUCAUUGAUAUUGUCAUACUUAUAAAAUGACUGUUUACAAAACUUUGAAUUAAUUGAAAUAUUCAGAGUUUUCUAUCCCAGGAAAAGAUUACCUAAGAUGUAUUUGACAAAACCUUGCGGAAUAUUGCCCUUUCUUCGUUUUUCCUUUACGUUUUUUUGUAUUCGCACAAAACUGAUGAGUCUUCUGUAAACGAAACACGGUCUAUAGAAAAAAAUAUAUAAAGACGAUUAGUUUUAUACCAAAGGAUGUAGAAACCGAACGCCCCAAAAAUGGAAAGUAAUUACCAAUGACAACAACGUCACACAAAUGUUGACAUGCGUUUGGUUCCUUAGAACAUAUUUAGUAUACUUUCAGAAUGAGUCAAAAUACAGGACAGAUAACAAAUUGCGUAUCUUGGUGAACCUCUACGUACAAAUUUAAGGUUGAAUGAUAAUGUUCAUGUUGAGUUGACUUUGUUAUUCUACUGAUCAAAUGACUAUUAUAAAACUAUUAGAUGUUUGUAAGUGUACAUUACAGUACAAAUAAGAUAAUUAAGAUUUUGUUAAGUAGUUAACUUAAAAUUCCUGUUUGAAAUUUUCAUAGUAGAGGAUAAUUAUAACUUUCUUUCAUUUUAAUAGCAUUAAAGAUUUUAAAAUUGCCAUAUUUUUAAUAUCUAAAUUAUAAUUCUAAGGAAACCUUUUUAACCAGAAGGAAACUUUAGUCUUGUCCAGUGCACGAGGAGAUGAGGAGAUGUAUCAAUCCUCUCUUUUUUUAACCCAAAGAUUGUACUUUUUUCAUACAGAGAUAGAUACUUACCAUAACUGUGAAUGUAUUCAAACUUGUAAAUGAUGAUCAGCAAUUCAUACAUUUAUAUUUAUAGAAAAAGCUUUAUGAAUUCAAUGAUUUUUAUAAAUUUAUUUAGUCAGUUAACACAGCUGUGACAACUAGAACACCAACUACUCCAAAACCUACCAGGGAGCCAGAUGUAAACCAUGCGAUGUACUUUCACUACAACCAAAGGUCAAUAGAGGUAAGCAAAUGCUAAAUUAAAACCAAACGGCCCGAAAACACUCCCCAAAAUAAGUCUGUGAAACAUUCAGAUUUGUCACUAAAAAGGCGAGAAAACAAGAUCAUUUUAAAAAAUACUAUGAUUCGAAUGGUUGUAUUUGUGUAAUCUGCAUCUGAUUCUUAUUUUGAAUAUGAGUCCAAAUUUAUGUCAUAAAAAAGAUUGUCAUAAAAAGCGCUGACUUUAUUGGAAAAAUCUUUUCCAUUUUACAUAAUUUGUUAAUAAAAGCGCGCAUAUUGGCAGAGAAUGUCAAUGCAGUAAGAUGUUUGAAGGGUUAUUUGAAUUAUUUAAAAAAUGUAUAAUGUUUACUUACAUUUCCCCCCCCACGUUAUUGUAUAGAUGAUUUUUUUUAUUUUUAUAAAGCCUUUGCUGAUACUAAAGUUUGACUCACAUUACACUAAAGAUUGUUAUGUUAUGCCGCUAAGUCAUGAUGAUAUACAAACUAUACAGGAUCGCCUCGAUU